UACAGAGGGUGCGAGCGUUAAUCGGAAUUACUGGGCGUAAAGCGUGCGUAGACGGUUAUUUAAGUCAGGUGUGAAAGCCCUGGGCUUAACCUAGGAAUUGCGCUUGAGACUGGAUAGCUUGGAGUGCGGCAGAGGGAGGUGGAAUUCCACGUGUAGCAGUGAAAUGCGUAGAGAUGGGAGGAACACCGAUGGCGAAGGCAGCCUCCUGGGACAGCACUGACGCUCAUGCACGAAAGCGUGGGGGGCAAACAGG
rnacentral:rRNA from 1 species